GUAUAUGACGAUAGAAAUGCUGUGCACCAGUCUGAAAGUACUAAACCUUUGUACUCUAGUACGUUGAAGCAUUAAGUAUACCCAAAUUUCUGAUA
rnacentral:snoRNA from 1 species